GACGGGGGGGGCAAGUGUUCUUCGGAAUGACUGGGCUUAAAGGGUGCGUAGGCUGCGCGGAAAGUUGGGUGUGAAAUCCCUCGGCUCAACCGAGGAACUGCGCCCAAAACUACCGUGCUCGAGGGAGACAGAGGUGAGCGGAACUUAGGGUGGAGCGGUGAAAUGCGUUGAUAUCCUAAGGAACACCCGUGGCGAAAGCGGCUCACUGGGUCUCUUCUGACGCUGAGGCACGAAAGCUAGGGUAGCGAACGGG
rnacentral:rRNA from 1 species